rnacentral:rRNA from 1 species
UAAAGAUUUUAAGGGCGUACGGCGGAUGCCUUGGCGAUAUCAGCCGAAGAAGGACGCGGUAAGCUGCGAUAAGCUACGGAGAGGUGCAAGCAACCUUUGACCCGUAGAUUUCCGAAUGGGGGAACCCGGCAGUGGUUAUGCACUGUCACCCAUACCUUUGAGUAUGAGGAGGGCACCUGGGGAACUGAAACAUCUAAUUACCCAGAGGAAGAGUAAUCAAACGAGAUUUUCUUAGUAGCGGCGAGCGAACGGGAAAGAGGCCAAACCGGAGCGGGCAACCGCACCGGGGUUGAGGACAGUCAUCAAGUGUAAAUGAGGUAGAAGAAUCGAGUUGGAAAGCUCAGCCGCAGAAGGUGAAAGCCCUGUAAUCGAAACCUUGCAUACAUGGGACUGUAUCCAGAGUACCACGAGACACGUGAAACCUUGUGGGAAGCAGGGGGGACCACCCUCCAAGCCAAAAUACUGAUAUCGACCGAUAGCGCAUAGUACCGUGAGGGAAAGGUGAAAAGAACCCCUGGCGGGGAGUGAAAGAGAACCUGAAACCGUAUGUCUACAAACAGUCGAAGUCUGUAUAUAUAUCAGGACGACGGCGUGCCUAUUGAAGAAUGAACCGACGAGUUACUGUUGCUAGCGAGGUUAAGUGGAAAACAUGGAGCCGCAGCGAAAGCGAGUCUGAACAGGGCGUUCAGUUAGUGAUAGUAGACCCGAAACCGUAGUGAUCUAUCCAUGGCCAGGUUGAAGCACAGGUAAAAUUGUGUGGAGGACCGAACUCGUGAGCGUUGAAAAGCUUUGGGAUGAGUUGUGGAUAGGGGUGAAAUGCCAAUCGAACACGGAGAUAGCUGGUUCUCCCCGAAAUAGCUUUAGGGCUAGCCUCGAGGUUGAGAGUAUAGGCGGUAGAGCACUGAUCGGGCUAGGGGCCAUACCGGUUACCGAACCUAGUCAAACUACGAAUGGCUAUACUUAUACUCGGGAGUCAGACAGUGAAUGAUAAGGUCCAUUGUCAAGAGGGAAACAGCCCAGAACACCGACUAAGGUCCCCAAUGUCAUACUAAGUGGCGAAGGAUGUGGAAUUUCCAAAACAACCAGGAUGUUGGCUUAGAAGCAGCCACCAUUUAAAGAGUGCGUAAUAGCUCACUGGUCGAGAGACUCUGCGCCGAAAAUGUCCGGGGCUAAAGUAUGAAACCGAAGUCGUGUCAUAUGCAGCAAUGUAUAUGGGUAGGGGAGCGUUCUCAUCGGAUUGAAGCAGUACCGUAAGGAGUUGUGGACUGGUGAGAAGUGAGAAUGUCGGUAUGAGUAGCGAAAAGAAUGGUGAGAAUCCAUUCCACCGAAAGCCUAAGGGUUCCUGAGCAACGAUCGUCGUCUCAGGGUAAGUCGGGACCUAAGCCGAGGCGGAAAAGCGUAGGCGAUGGACAACAGGUUGAAAUUCCUGUACCGGUGUGAAUCGUUUGAUCGAAGGAGUGACACAGUAAGGUAGGUCAGCACGCGAUUGGAAGUGCGUGUUUAAGCAUGUAGGUUGAGUUAUAGGCAAAUCCGUAACUCUAAAAGCUGAGAUGUGAUGACGAGCUGUUUACAGCGAAGUGAUUGAUCCUACACUGUCGAGAAAAGCUUCUAGGUAGAGACACAUCGCCCGUACCAAAACCGACACAGGUAGGCGGGGAGAGAAUCCUAAGGUGCGCGGGAAAACCCUCGUUAAGGAACUCGGCAAAAUGCCUCCGUAACUUCGGGAAAAGGAGGACUCAUGUAGUGUGAAGGGCAGUAACGCGUGGAGCAUGAAUGAGUGGCACAAGAGAGGCGCAAGCGACUGUUUACCACAAACACAGGUGCCUGCUAAAGCGAAAGCUGAUGUAUAGGUGCUGACACCUGCCCGGUGCUGGAAGGUUAAGAGGAGGGGUUAGACUUUGGUCGAAGCUCUGAAUUGAAGCCCCAGUAAACGGCGGCCGUAACUAUAACGGUCCUAAGGUAGCGAAAUUCCUUGUCGGGU